UUUUUUUUAUGGUCAUCAACAAAAAACCCAGAUCGCAUAAUCACUCUCUGAACCCAAAUUUCAUGAGAGAGGAUCGAACUGAAAUGUCUGAAGACGACGACCGAUCGCCGCCUUCUGAUUCUGUUACCACCACUGAUUCGUGUUUCAGCAAGACCCAGACUUGUACUUCUGGUUCUACUUCUGGGUCUGGACCCAGUUCCAUACCUGAAUACCAAGCUCCAUACCCUGACCAGGUCCUGGAAAAUGUUCUUGAGAACGUUCUCUGCUUCUUGACCUCUCGCCGCGACAGAAACGCUGCGUCAUUAGUCUGCAGGUCGUGGUACCGUGUUGAGGCGCUCACUCGAUCCGACCUCUUCAUCGGGAACUGCUAUGCCGUCUCUCCGCGACGCGCCACGUCGCGUUUCACCCGAAUCCGAUCCGUGACGUUGAAGGGGAAGCCCCGCUUCGCCGAUUUCAACCUCAUGCCGCCCAAUUGGGGGGCCCACUUCGCGCCCUGGGUUUCUGCCAUGGCUAAGGCGUACCCGUGGCUCGAGAAGGUUCACCUGAAGCGCAUGACUGUGACGGACGAAGAUCUCGCGGUUCUGGCGGAGUCCUUUUUCGGGUUUAAGGAGCUCGUGCUUGUGUGUUGUGAUGGAUUUGGCACUAACGGACUUGCUGUGGUUGCUAGCAGGUGCAGGUAUGGGCUUUCGAUUUUAUCGUAGAGCGUAUGCUUAUUGGGUUGUAGUUUAUGUAAGUAUUGGCCGAUUAGAUCUGGAUAUAGUGUUGUCUUUUAUGGUCUGUUGGUUAAGGCGAUAUAGAAGUUAAACUUCAUUGGGUUUUGUUGAUUCGCUUUGUGUUUGUUAUUAUGUGCUAAAUUCUAAGUUCAAGAGAUUGGCAUCAUCAUUUUCUGGGUUGCAUUUAUUGAAGGAAUGUUUAGAUCUGUAUCGAGUUUGAAACUAAUCAUAAGUUACUUAACUGGGAUUGGGAUUGUUGGCGAUUAUUCGGAUUGUUGGCGAUUCUUGUGAUCUGUUUCGUUAAUUGGAGUUUGAUAGUAAUAUAAAUCUAAAUAAUGCUUUUUUCAGUAGCUGUAAUAUCGAAGAAUUUAUUCUAAUGAUUAAAAUUUGUAAUGAGAAAGUUAUUUCAUUGAUAAAUUUAUAACUUCUUGUGGACAUCUUGUAUACAGACAACUGAGAGUGCUUGAUCUGAUUGAAUCUGAGGUAUCAGAUGAUGAAGUUGAUUGGAUAUCAUUUUUUCCAGAGAGUGCAACGUGUCUCGAAUCUCUGAUUUUUGAUUGCGUAGAUUGCCCCAUCAAUUUUGAUGCAUUGGAGAGGCUGGUUGCACGGUCACUUUCACUGAAGAAACUCAGGUUAAACCGAUAUGUUUCAAUUGGCCAGUUACACCGUCUGAUGGUGCGAGCUCCACAACUCACACAUCUUGGGACAGGCUCAUUUCGACCAUCAGAGGAUGUGGCUCAGGGUGAACAAGAACCAGAUUAUACAUCUGCAUUUGCUGCUUCCAAAUCCUUAGUUUGCCUAUCUGGCUUUAGGGAAAUCGUUCCAGACUACUUGCCAGCAAUUUACCCAGUUUGUGCCAAUCUCACUUCUCUGAACUUAAGCUAUGCAAAUAUCACUGCGGAGCAGCUUAGACCCAUAAUACGCAAUUGCCAUAAGCUUCAGAUUUUGUGGGUCCUUGAUUCAAUAUGUGAUGAAGGACUUCAGGCUGUGGCUGCAACAUGCAAGGAACUUCGUGAGCUGCGGGUUUUUCCAAUUGAUGCUCGGGAGGAUAGCGAAGGCCCUGUUUCUGAAGUUGGCCUCCAAGCGAUUUCAGAGGGUUGUAGAAAGCUUCAAUCAAUUUUGUAUUUUUGCCAGCGGAUGACGAAUGCAGCUGUUAUAGCCAUGUCAAAGAACUGCCCAGAUCUUGUGGUAUUCCGUCUUUGUAUAAUGGGACGUCACAGGCCUGAUCAUGUCACUGGAGAGCCUAUGGAUGAAGGAUUUGGAGCCAUUGUCAUGAAUUGUAAGAAGCUUACUCGGCUUGCUGUAUCAGGUUUAUUGACUGAUAGAGCUUUUAAUUAUUUUGGAAGAUAUGGAAAAACAGUAAGGACCCUGUCUGUUGCUUUUGCCGGGGAUAGUGACAUGGCGCUGAAGUAUGUGCUUGAGGGCUGCCCCAGAUUGCAGAAGCUUGAGAUUAGAGAUAGUCCAUUUGGGGAUGCAGCCUUGCUUUCUGGUCUGCAUCACUAUUACAACAUGAGAUUCCUUUGGAUGUCUUCCUGUAAGUUAACUAGUGGUGGUUGCCAGCAGAUUGCUCAAGAAUUACCUCAUUUGGUAGUGGAAGUCUUUAAUCAUGAAUUUGAUGAGGACAUGGGUAAUUUUGUUAAUACAUUAUACAUGUAUCGAUCUCUUGAAGGGCCAAGAGAUGAUGCACCGAAGUUUGUUUCCAUCUUGUAGGCAUUUGCACUGCAGGAAGAUGUAUUGUAUGUUAUGCUGGCUGUUGGACAAGCGGCAAGAAUCAUUUUUUGCGGGAAUGUUGAAUUCAGGAAGAACUGGUUAUAUAAGCCCGCAAGGUGUUAAUAAUUUUUGUCUUAGAUAGUGUAAACAACUUCUCUGUCCUUGUCUUGUGAUGUUGGAAAUGGCAUUCAAAGCAGCUGCUCUAUGAAGGACCACAAUUUUUCUUUGCUUUGGUUCUUUAAGAGGAUUUAAUCAAAGAAGGGGCUAAUGUAGAAGAUAGAUCUCUCUGUAAGAAUUAGACCUCUGGAUCUUGUUGUAUUGGUAUGCUUCUAAAUUUUAUGUUUCUUUUUCCUUUAUAUUCAUUUGAUCAUAAACGAGAAGACUGCCGGAGAUAAGGGAUGGAAUCUGAACUCUGAAGGAACUCUGAAGGCGCAUGAAAAUGCAAUGAGGGACAAUUGUUUAUCCUUUGAUAUGAAGAAAUCAAGACGGGUAGUAACUUGAAAUGAUGUUGGAAAGGUGAACUAAAGGAACUAUUCUUUCCCCUUAAUGCCAUCAGCAGAGGAGAAUCUAGAGCAAAUGCAAGGAGCAAGCAUUCACUCAUUGGAGGAGUUCGGUAUUAUUUUUUAUUCAAAUGGUAGCUAGUCUUAGUUCUAGCUGGUGAGAACUAAAUGCCCAGAUUGAUACAACUCCCUCCC
rnacentral:misc_RNA from 1 species